AGAGUUUGAUCAGUUGGGCCUACGAGGGACGAACGGCUGGCGGUGUGCUUCACACAUGCAAGUCGAACGAGGUAGCAAUACCUAGUGGCGGACGGGUGAGUAACGCGUGGGAAUCUGCCUUUAGAUGGGGGAUAACGGGUCGAAAGACUCGCUAAUACCGCAUAUGACGAAAGUUGAAAGGAGUAAUCCGUCUAAAGAUGAGCCCGCGUCCGAUUAGCUAGUUGGUAGAGUAAAAGCCUACCAAGGCGACGAUCGGUAGCUGGUCUGAGAGGAUGAUCAGCCACAAUGGGACUGAGACACGGCCCAUACUCCUACGGGAGGCAGCAGUGGGGAAUUUUACGCAAUGGGCGAAAGCCUGACGUAGCGACACCGCGUGAGCGAAGAAGCCCCUUGGGGUGUAAAGCUCUGUCAGCUGGAACGAAAAAAUGACGGUACCAGCAGAGGAAGCAUCGGCUAACUACGUG
rnacentral:rRNA from 1 species